UACGGGGGGGGCAAGCGUUGUUCGGAUUUACUGGGCGUAAGGGGCGCGUAGGCGGCCAGCGCAAGUCAGUUGUGAAAUCUCCGGGCUUAACUCGGAACGGUCAACUGAUACUGCGCGGCUAGAGUGCAGAAGGGGCAACUGGAAUUCUCGGUGUAGCGGUGAAAUGCGUAGAUAUCGAGAGGAACACCUGCGGCGAAGGCGGGUUGCUGGGCUGACACUGACGCUGAUGCGCGAAAGCCAGGGGAGCGAACGGG
rnacentral:rRNA from 1 species